AGUGAACGCUGGCGGUAGGCCUAACACAUGCAAGUCGAACGGCAGCACAGUAAGAGCUUGCUCUUACGGGUGGCGAGUGGCGGACGGGUGAGGAAUACAUCGGAAUCUACUUUUUCGUGGGGGAUAACGUAGGGAAACUUACGCUAAUACCGCAUACGACCUACGGGUGAAAGCAUGGGAUCUUCUGACCUUGCGCGAUUGAAUGAGCCGAUGUCGGAUUAGCUAGUUGGCGGGGUAAAGGCCCACCAAGGCGACGAUCCGUAGCUGGUCUGAGAGGAUGAUCAGCCACCUUGGAACUGAGACACGGUCCAGAGUCCUACGGGAGGCAGCAGUGGGGAAUAUUGGACAAUGGGCGCAAGCCUGAUCCAGCCAUACCGAGUGGGUGAAGAAGGCCUUCGGGUUGUAAAGACCUUUUGUUGGGAAAGAAAAGCAGCAGGUUAAUACCCAGCUGUUCUGACGGUACCCAAAGAAUAAGCACCGGCUAACUUCGUG
rnacentral:rRNA from 1 species